GACGAACGCUGGCGGCGUGCCUAAUACAUGCAAGUCGAACGCAGUGGGGACGGGUGAGUAACACGUGGGUAACCUCCCAUCAGAGGGGAUAACACUUGGAAACAGGUGCUAAACCGAUAUUGAUGGAUGGACCCGCGGUGCAUUAGCUAGUUGGUGAGGUAACGGCUCACAAAGGCCACGAUGCAUAGCCGACCGGGGCGGGUGUUCCUCCCCCCUGGGACUGAGACACGGCCCAGCCUCCUCCUCCGUUCCUCCUUCUUCUUUCUUCUGCCCUCGCCGUCAGUCGGCCCUGGCCACGCCGCGUGAGUGAAGCCUGUUUUCGGGUCUUCACACUCUGUUGUUAGAGAAGCGGUAUCUAACCAGAAAGCCACGGCUAACUACGUGCCAGCAGCCGCGGUAAUUC
rnacentral:rRNA from 1 species